rnacentral:rRNA from 1 species
CCUACUGGCGGCAGCAGUGAGGAAUAUUGGUCAAUGGGCGCGAGCCUGAACCAGCCAAGUAGCGUGAAGGAUGACUGCCCUACGGGUUGUAAACUUCUUUUAUAAAGGAAUAAAGUGAGGCACGUGUGCCUUUUUGUAUGUACUUUAUGAAUAAGGAUCGGCUAAGUCCGUGCCAGCAGCCGCGGUAAUACGGAGGAUCCUAGCGUUAUCCGGAUUUAUUGGGUUUAAAGGGAGCGUAGGUGGAUUGUUAAGUCAGUUGUGAAAGUUUGCGGCUCAACCGUAGAAUUGCAGUUGAAACUGGCAGUCUUGAGUACAGUAGAGGUGGGCGGAAUUCGUGGUGUAGCGGUGAAAUGCUUAGAUAUCACGAAGAACUCCGAUUGCGAAGGCAGCUCACUGGACUGCAACUGACACUGAGGCUCGAAAGUGUGGGUAUCAAACAGGAUUAGAUACCCGUGUAGUC